CGAGUGAACAGGGAAGAGCUCAAAUUUGUAAUCUGGCGUCCUUUGGGCGUCCGAGUUGUAAUCUAUAGAAGCGUUUUCCGUGCUGGACCAUGUCCAAGUCCCUUGGAACAGGGUAUCAAAGAGGGUGAUAAUCCCGUACUUGACAUGACAACCAGUGCUCUGUGAUACGUUCUCUACGAGUCGAGUUGUUUGGGAAUGCAGCUCAAAAUGGGUGGUGAGUUCCAUCUAAAGCUAAAUAUUGGCGAGAGACCGAUAGCGAACAAGUACCGUGAGGGAAAGAUGAAAAGCACUUUGGAAAGAGAGUUAAACAGUACGUGAAAUUGUUGAAAGGGAAACGAUUGAAGUCAGUCGUGUCCAAGGGGUUCAGCCGGUUAUGCCGGUGUAUUCCCCUUGGACGGGUCAACAUCAGUUUGGACCGGUGGAAAAGGGUAGUUGGAAGGUAGCAGCUCCGGCUGUGUUAUAGACUUCUGCCGCACACACUGGUCUAGACUGAGGCAUGCAGCUCGCCCUUGUGGCCGGGGUUUACCCACGUACGAGCUUAGG
rnacentral:rRNA from 1 species